rnacentral:misc_RNA from 1 species
CGCCUUGGUCAGUCUGACAGCUUUGUUCGAUCGUUUUCAGACACUCCUCUGAGUGUUCUGGUCGGGGCGGCUGCGCUAACUCGCUCUGCCUGCAAUAAGAUCUUAUAGAGUAGGGAUGUCCGCUUUCUAACUGUCUGUGCAUUCGGACAAUUUAUUGACUAUUUGACCUCAAAUCAGGUAGGACUACCCGCUGAACUUAA